rnacentral:rRNA from 1 species
GCUCAACCGAGGAAGUGCUUCGAAAACUGGUAAACUUGAGUGCAGAAGAGGAAAGUGGAACUCCAUGUGUAGCGGUGGAAUGCGUAGAUAUAUGGAAGAACACCAGUGGCGAAGGCGGCUUUCUGGUCUGUAACUGACGCUGAGAUUCGAAAGCAUGGGUAGCAAACAGGAUUAGAUACCCUGGUAGUCCAUGCCGUAAACGAUGAGUGCUAAGUGUUGGAGGGUUUCCGCCCUUCAGUGCUGCAGCUAACGCAUUAAGCACUCCGCCUGGGGAGUACGAUCGCAAGAUUGAAACUCAAAGGAAUUGACGGGGGCCCGCACAAGCGGUGGAGCAUGUGGUUUAAUUCGAAGCAACGCGAAGAACCUUACCAGGUCUUGACAUACCAUGAAAAGCUAAGAGAUUAGUCUUUCCCUUCGGGGACAUGGAUACAGGUGGUGCAUGGUUGUCGUCAGCUCGUGUCGUGAGAUGUUGGGUUAAGUCCCGCAACGAGCGCAACCCUUAUUAUCAGUUGCCAGCAUUCAGUUGGGCACUCUGGUGAGACUGCCGGUGACAAACCGGAGGAAGGUGGGGACGACGCCAAAUCAUCAUGCCCCUUAUGACCUGGGCUACACACGUGCUACAAUGGUCGGUACAACG